rnacentral:miRNA from 1 species
UGAAGGUCUACUGUGUGCCAGGC